rnacentral:rRNA from 1 species
CUCGAUGUCGGCUCAUCACAUCCUGGGGCUGAAGUCGGUCCCAAGGGUAUGGCUGUUCGCCAUUUAAAGUGGUACGCGAGCUGGGUUUAGAACGUCGUGAGACAGUUCGGUCCCUAUCUGCCGUGGGCGUUGGAUGAUUGAGGGGAGCUGCUCCUAGUACGAGAGGACCGGAGUGGACGAACCGCUGGUGUUCGGGUUGUGUCGCCAGACGCAUUGCCCGGUAGCUAAGUUCGGCACAGAUAAGCGCUGAAAGCAUCUAAGCGCGAAGCUGGCCCCGAGAUGAGUCAUCCCUAGAGCUUCGAGCUCUCUAAAGGGUUGUUCUAGACUAGAACGUUGAUAGGCAGGGUGUGUAAGCGCUGUGAGGCGUUGAGCUAACCUGUACUAAUUGCCCGUGAGGCUUAACCAUACAACACCCAAG